rnacentral:sRNA from 1 species
GCCUUGCUGAGCCGGG